rfam:Ophiophagus hannah scaffold1692.1, whole genome shotgun sequence.
AAAGCAUUGCUCUGGCUGGUCAAAAGGAACCAAGGCCGUCUCUCCUGGAGGUUUGGUCCCCUUCAACCAGCUAUAGCAGUGCUGACCU